AGUGGCGGACGGGUGAGUAACGCGUAGGAAUCUGCCUCAUAGUGGGGGACAACGUGGGGAAACUCACGCUAAUACCGCAUACGCCCUACGGGGGAAAGCGGGGGAUCUUCGGACCUCGCGCUAUGAGAUGAGCCUGCGUUAGAUUAGCUAGUUGGUAGGGUAAAGGCCUACCAAGGCGACGAUCUAUAGCUGGUCUGAGAGGACGAUCAGCCACACUGGGACUGAGACACGGCCCAGACUCCUACGGGAGGCAGCAGUGGGGAAUAUUGGACAAUGGGCGAAAGCCUGAUCCAGCAAUACCGCGUGUGUGAAGAAGGCCUUAGGGUUGUAAAGCACUUUCAAUUGGGAGGAAAACCUACCGGUCAAUACCCGGUAGCUUGACAUUACCUUUAGAAGAAGCACCGGCUAACUCCGUGCCAGCAGCCGCGGUGAUACGGAGGGUGCGAGCGUUAAUCGGAAUUACUGGGCGUAAAGCGUGCGUAGGCGGUUCGUUAAGUCAGAUGUGAAAGCCCUGGGCUCAACCUGGGAACUGCAUUUGAAACUGGCGGACUAGAGUUUAGUAGAGGGGAGUGGAAUUUCAGGUGUAGCGGUGAAAUGCGUAGAUAUCUGAAGGAACACCAGUGGCGAAGGCGACUCCCUGGACUAGAACUGACGCUGAGGUACGAAAGCGUGGGUAGCAAACAGGAUUAGAUACCCUGGUAGUCCACGCCGUAAACGAUGUCGACUAGCCGUUGGUCCUAUUUACAGGAUUAGUGGCGCAGCUAACGCAUUAAGUCGACCGCCUGGGGAGUACGGCCGCAAGGUUAAAACUCAAAUGAAUUGACGGGGGCCCGCACAAGCGGUGGAGCAUGUGGUUUAUUUCGAUGCAACGCGAAGAACCUUACCUACCCUUGACAU
rnacentral:rRNA from 1 species